rnacentral:rRNA from 1 species
UACGAAGGGGGCUAGCGUUGUUCGGAAUCACUGGGCGUAAAGGGCGCGUAGGCGGCUGUUCAAGGUCGGGGGUGGAAGCCUGUGGCUCAACCACAGAAUUGCCUCGAUACUGGACGGCUCGAGACCGGAAGAGGUCAGUGGAACUGCGAGUGUAGAGGUGAAAUUCGUAGAUAUUCGCAAGAACACCAGUGGCGAAGGCGGCUGACUGGUCCGGUUCUGACGCUGAGGCGCGAAAGCGUGGGGAGCAAACAGG